AACCAACCAGGGAUCGAAUCCACCCUCGGUAGUCUUUUCCCCCCUCUCUGAUCAUCUUCUCUUCAGGAAACACCGCACGAAAAGGAGGAAGGAGGCGGCAGCCGGCUAGGCCUACGGGGCCUGCGCUCGUCCGUAGGGUUGUAGCAGCGGCGGCUGACUGGCUCAUCCCUACGCUCGGUCGGUGGCCCGUGGCCAACCGGAGCGGCGUCGGGCAGGCGAACAGCUGCUGUCCCCGCCUAGGCCCCUUGCGCUCGCUCAGCAGCCCGUGGCCGGACGGCUCGGCGGCGAUGUCAAGGAGAUAGGAGCGGGUUGGAUACUUCGAUCUGCCACCCGUUGUCGCUACUGCAGCGUCACUCAAUCCGUGCGACAAGGAGAUUGGGGCGGAGGAUGGGGACGAGACCCGCUUCCGUGUGGUCGCCGCUGAGUAUCGUGCGCUCAUCUUCUGCUGCAGCACCACCCUCGCGCUGCUCGGAUCCGAUCCCCACCUGUUCGCAGCUCUGGCAUGUGCCACGCCGCGUUGCCGAUCGAUGAGUUACGGAGAAUCAUCAAAAUCACUCAUGCGAAGGAUCUCGAAUAAAUUAACGAUGGAGCAAGAGAUCACAGUGAUCAGGAAUUGGUUCACUUAAUGGAAACUAUGAAUAAUCAGGAAUUGGUUCCAGUAUGUGACAUGAUCAAACUGUGUGAAUGAUAGGUUCCGGAUGUCAUGUCUUUGAUAUCAUUGUUUUGGCGUUUUGGCAAUGGUUCAGUAAAUGCAAUGCCGACAGCGUAAUUUCAUUUUAUUUUUAACUAAAUUAACGAUGGAGCAAGAGAUCACAGUGAUCAGGAAUUGGUUCACUUAAUGGAAACUAGGAAUAAUCAGGAAUUGGUUCCCGUAUGUGACAUGAUCAAACUGUGUGAAUGAUAGGUUCCGGAUGUCAUGUCUUUGAUA